AGUGAACGCUGGCGGUAGGCCUAACACAUGCAAGUCGAACGGCAGCACAGAGGAGCUUGCUCCUUGGGUGGCGAGUGGCGGACGGGUGAGGAAUACAUCGGAAUCUACUUUUUCGUGGGGGAUAACGUAGGGAAACUUACGCUAAUACCGCAUACGACCUACGGGUGAAAGCAGGGGACCUUCGGGCCUUGCGCGAUUGAAUGAGCCGAUGUCGGAUUAGCUAGUUGGCGGGGUAAAGGCCCACCAAGGCGACGAUCCGUAGCUGGUCUGAGAGGAUGAUCAGCCACACUGGAACUGAGACACGGUCCAGACUCCUACGGGAGGCAGCAGUGGGGAAUAUGGGACAAUGGGCGCAAGCCUGAUCCAGCCAUACCGCGUGGGUGAAGAAGGCCUUCGGGUUGUAAAGCCCUUUUGUUGGGAAAGAAAUCCAGCCGGCUAAUACCUGGUUGGGAUGACGGUACCCAAAGAAUAAGCACCGGCUAACUUCGUGCCAGCAGCCACCGCAG
rnacentral:rRNA from 1 species